rnacentral:rRNA from 1 species
CCUACGGGUGGCAGCAGUGGGGAAUAUUGGGCAAUGGGCGCAAGCCUGACCCAGCAACGCCGCGUGAAGGAAGAAGGCUUUCGGGUUGUAAACUUCUUUUCUCAGGGACGAAGAUAGUGACGGUACCCGAGGAAUAAGCCACGGCUAACCACGUGCCAGCAGCCGCGGGAAUACGUAGGUGGCAAGCGUUAUCCGGAUUUAUGGGGUGUAAAGGGCGUGUAGGCGGGGGGGUAAGUCAGAUGUGAAAACUCAGGGCUCAACCCUGUGCCUGCAUUUGAAACUGUGUUUCUUGAGUGCUGGAGAGGCAAGCGGAAUUCCGGGUGUAGCGGUGAAAUGCGUAGAUAUACGGAGGAACACCAGUGGCGAAGGCGGAUUGCUGGACAGUAACUGACGCUGAGGCACGAAAGCGUGGGGAGCAAACAGGAUUAGAUACCCCGGUAGUC